UCUAUGUUGCAAAUGCGUUGAGCAAACAUAACAAGUUGGUACUGGCCUUGGCAAAUGACCACAUUGUGUUUAUGUAUCUGAGUACAUAAUUCAGACUGCCUUUCUCAAGUUCUUGUGCCAGUAGUAUAAUCCACUUUAUCAGGCUCUUGCCAAGCACUUCAUGAGCUAAAGUGAAUCAGCACAUACUUGACAACUGUUGUAGCGAAUCCAAGUCAUACUAUUAUCAUGGCAACAACUUUUCUCAACUCUGGAGAGCUUUCUCACUUGCUUUUCCCAUUUGUGUCCCAAAUUCUCUCCUGAAUUUUACUUUAUUUUCUCACUUUUCACGAUGUAGCCCUUAUGAUAGUGCUAUCUGCUCUUUCAAGCUUUCUGUUUUAGAAGAGGAUGACAAUUACCUACUUUUUUCACAUGCUGUAUCUCUAAGUGUAUGGGAACUGUUGAAUCAUGGCCUGAAGCUCUGAUUGAUCAGCUGAGGUGAGCACUGAGUCAGCCAGGGGAGUACAAGUGAAGGCAGUUCACCUGUGUGACCGGAAGGGGUGGAGCCUGGCUCCACCUCUCCUAGACCCCACUUAAGGGAUGACUCCAACUGAGAAAAGACCUCUUUCUGGAGAUUGAUUCUCUUGGAGUUUUUCCUGCAAGCCUACAACAUUGGGAAAAUACAUGGAACCCACAGCUGACCUUAUUCUGCUUCAGAUCAGUGGUUACUAUCACAUAUAAUUGCUUUAAGUAGAAGAGUUCCACAGAGGAUGCGAAUCAAGCCCUGCAAGAAGGGUGAAACACAGGGUUUUGAUAUUUCUCUGAACAGUUUCAGAAUUUUAUGAGUGCAAUGUAGGAACAAAAAACAGUACAGAAAAAACUGUACUCAGCCUACUGUGAAUCUGUGUUAUAGUGUCCUUGCUAUUUAGUCUGGAAUUUUACAGGCAAAAUGAAUUCUUAUGGCAUCAGUUUUCAAAGAGCAUUUUAAUUGUUCAUCAUUAGAUGUAAAAAAUCAUAUAUUAAACACAAACUUCAAUUUUUUUUUGAUAUGUCUGUAGGGAAAAAAAAACAAAAACAAAAUACGAAGCUUUCGUCUGAAUGAUAUAUUGUCAUAACGUUUUAGUGUCUGCCACAUACUUGGAAUGUUAUGAAGGCUGAAUGCUCAGAGUGUCAACUAUUGUUUUGAAAUAUGUGUAUAAUAUAUAAUUAAGAAAUUGCAUUUUUUUUAAAUCAACAUAUUAGCUUAAUAUUCCAUGUAUGACUCAGAUGUUCAGAAACACUACUAGCUAUAACUGAAUUCUACCCCUUCUAAUGGUUCAUUGCCCAUUACUCUGACUUGAUUAUGAGUCUAAUAUACACAUAAGUGCUUAUUAUGUGCAUCUUUGGAAGAUUCUGCUUUAUACCUUAUUCAAAUUACUGUCAGACUGAACAAGCAUUACAAUCCUGUUAGAAAUUAGAUUUCUACUUAUUUUCUUCAUUUGUUUAUAUUGUUUUUAAAUUGGCAAUGAUAUUACUAGCUACAGUGGUUAGUUGUUUAUGAAACUGCAUUAAAACAGGGCUGAAAAGGUAGAGUUUUUAGUCUUUUUUUGUCUGGCUGGACAUCUGGUGUCCAUUAACAACCAAACAUUGUGAUGGGUUAUUCAUCUGUGCUGAUAUUGCACAAAGGAUUUUGCCACCUGUUCGAUUUUUAUUUACUGCUUUAUUUAGAGAGAGCUUAUAUACUUUCGAGUUAAAUGUGAAGGACAUAAUAUCAAAAUGUGUAUUUCAGCAGGUAGAGCUUGCAGAAUAUACUAAAUCCCUCAGUUUUGAAUCUUAGUAAGUUUCCUUCUUUAAUUAAGAUUUUCUUGCAAUUAUUUGGAACUGAAUGUUUGAAGACACUGAAUACCACAUUAAAUAAAUCUCUGUAACAGGAAGUAGAGCUGAUUUUUUUUUUUUUUUUUUUUCUCCCUGUGCCUCCCCCCUCAGGUAUUUGAAGACUUGUAUUUUUAGAAUCAGAGAGAUCCCCUACUCUGACCCUACUACUGAUUACCUACCAAGUAGCACUAACCAGUAUGAGAUCACAAUUAGUGGCAAACUGAAGAUAGGGAAGGGAUAAAAACAUAUCAACGAACUUUAAGGAACUAUGGCCAGGGAGCUAACCUCUUCUAUACUAUGUGUAUAAAAAGUGGAACAAGAGGAGGACCUCUGAACUGUGUUUCAGUGAUUUAUAAUUGAGAUUAAAUCCACUUAGCUCAAGUAAAGAGAAUUCACAAAUUUUAGAGAUUCGGUGAAAUUUAGAAUUACAUCUAAGAUAAUACUGAAAUUUCUUGAAUAGUUAGUAGAGUUAAGAGUUAAUAUUUCAUUGCUUCUAGAAGGAAACAUACCUGACUUAGUUUAGGUUUCAAAAUAAAGGGGCUAAUCAUAUAGACAAUAAUAUUCCUCUGUGAUUCAUGUUAAGCAAGAAUGUAGCACAAAUGCUGAGUCACAUCUUGAACCAAUGAUUGAGCAUCUGGUGGGAAGGUAUGGCCAACCCAGGGGAGCUCAGAUGCAUGCCCUGCCUCUGAGUGACUGGAAGGUCUGGAGUCAGGAUUCACCCAUUCCUAGACCUCAAUUAAGGGUUGGCAGUGGAGGUAAGGGUGUCUCAUUAGAGAUCUCUGUGUACCUGGGAUCUUCCAAGGAUAAAAAUCAUGAUUUCAUGUUUAUUAAAUGUAGAAGACAGCUGUGUUGAUGGUGUUCUCAAAAUUUCUAGAAAAACCCUUGGUAACCAAAGAAUGGGACAGCGAUGAGACUACAAGGCAUAUAGGUCUCAAUGUGAUCAUCAUCAUCUUUUUAUUUCUCUCAAGUAUUUUUUCAUUUUUUUUUUUCUCAGUAGCCAAGCAUAGUUGUUUACCUGCAGAACAUGCUUUUUAUUUUUGGUCAAAUACUAUUUCUUGAUGUCUUUGUGUCUGGCAUACAAACAUUUUAUUUCAUGCUGUCACUCUGUCCUUCCAACAGUUCUGCCAGUACACUAAUAGGGCACCUUUGAUGUUCUGUCUGAAUUCCUGGAAUCUAUGACAAAUCAGGUGUGGUAUGCAUUUCUGGGGAAAAAAUAAAUCUCUGAUCUUGUUUAGUCUUUGAAAUUUUAAAAGUUACUUCAAAAUCAUAUGGUAGGAAGAUCAGUAGAAUUUAAAGAACUGUCUUGCAAAUAUUGCAGAAUGCAUCUGGAUAGCUGCGGCACUCCCUGUUUUCAGUUUCCUCUUUACAGCUAACAGAAGAGGACCGCUUCACACACUCCAAAGAACAACAUGAAACAGUAGUCAGUAAUCUACAUUUCAAAGUACUGUGUUUAUCAGUCUGGGUUUAGGUUUAAUUUUCUCAGCAGCCUACAGAAAGAACUGUUUAGCUUAAGAAUGCAAAGAUGUUACAGGGAAUUCAAAACUGAAUCACUGCAUAAACUAUUCUCAAUUUUGCUCUUUCUCGAAAAAAAAAAUAUUUUCACUUCAAAUCUUGCUUAACUAACUUGUAAAUCAAUAAAGAAAUAAAAUAUGAAUGUACAAACUAA